AACACUGUUAACCUGCGGUACCUGCGGAGGGAUCAUCGAAGAAUUAUUAUUUCCAAUUAUAAAAAAGGGGAGAGGAAAAAGGGGAAAAAGGGGGGAGGAACUCUCUCUAUGAGAGGCCUUCUCACUCUCUUUCUUUCUUUCUCCUUUUUUAUAAACAAACAAACAAUCGCAACUAUAAAAAGGAUGAUUUGGUUUGAAUGAAUGUUUGAAUGAAUUUUUGUUUGUGAAGGAAAAAAAGUG
rnacentral:misc_RNA from 1 species